UACGGGGGGGGCAAGCGUUGUUCGGAAUUACUGGGCGUAAAGGGCUCGUAGGUGGCCAACUAAGUCAGACGUGAAAUCCCUGGGCUCAACCCAGGAACUGCGUCCGAUACUGGUUGGCUUGAAUCCGGGAGAGGGAUGUGGAAUUCCAGGUGUAGCGGUGAAAUGCGUAGAUAUCUGGAGGAACACCGGUGGCGAAGGCGGCAUCCUGGACCGGUAUUGACGCUGAGGCGCGAAAGCCGGGGGAGCAAACGGG
rnacentral:rRNA from 1 species